GGUGAGGUGUCCGAGUGGCUUAAGGAGCAUGCCUGGAAAGCAUGUAUACAUACAAAACCUUAUGUAUCAAGGGUUCGAAUCCCUUCCUCACCGCCA
rnacentral:tRNA from 2 species